rnacentral:tRNA from 1 species
GGGGUCAUAGCUCAAUUGGCUAGAGCGCUAGUCUUGCACACUAGAGGUUAGGGGUUCAAUUCCCCUUGAUUCCACUA